GACGAACGCUGGCGGCGUGCUUAACACAUGCAAGUCGAACGGAAAGGCCCUGCUUUUGUGGGGUGCUCGAGUGGCGAACGGGUGAGUAACACGUGAGUAACCUGCCCUUGACUUUGGGAUAACUUCAGGAAACUGGGGCUAAUACCGGAUAGGAGCUCCUGCUGCAUGGUGGGGGUUGGAAAGUUUCGGCGGUUGGGGAUGGACUCGCGGCUUAUCAGCUUGUUGGUGGGGUAGUGGCUUACCAAGGCUUUGACGGGUAGCCGGCCUGAGAGGGUGACCGGCCACAUUGGGACUGAGGUACGGCGCAGACUCCUACGGGAGGCAGCAGUGGGGAAUAUUGCACAGUGGGCGGAAGCCUGAUGCAGCAACGCCGCGUGCGGGAUGACGGCCUUCGGGUUGUAAACCGCUUUCGCCUGUGACGAAGCGUGAGUGACGGUAAUGGGUAAAGAAGCACCGGCUAACUACGUG
rnacentral:rRNA from 1 species